rnacentral:rRNA from 1 species
CAGCCGCCACGGUAAUACGUAUGUCACAAGCGUUAUCCGGAUUUAUUGGGCGUAAAGCGCGUCUAGGUGGUUAUGUAAGUCUGAUGUGAAAAUGCAGGGCUCAACUCUGUAUUGCGUUGGAAACUGUGUAACUAGAGUACUGGAGAGGUAAGCGGAACUACAAGUGUAGAGGUGAAAUUCGUAGAUAUUUGUAGGAAUGCCGAUGGGGAAGCCAGCUUACUGGACAGAUACUGACGCUGAAGCGCGAAAGCGUGGGUAGCAAACAGGAUUAGAUACCCCCGUAGUCCCUGUCUCUUAUACA